UACCACCUUUAUUUCUCUUUGGGCAGC
rnacentral:piRNA from 1 species